rnacentral:rRNA from 1 species
UAUUAUUUAAGGUGUAAAAAUAAAUAUGUUGAAGUAGUAAGAGAUAUGGUCUUGAAACUUAAAGAAUUUGGCGGUAUUUUAAUCCUUUUAGAGGAAUCUGUUCUGUAAACGAUAAUACACGAUUUAAAAACUCAAUUUUGUAUUCAAUUUGUAUAUCGCCGUCAUAAGAUUAUCUUGAUAAUGAGAAAAUUUUCUGGACACUUUUGGAGUGUAAUGUCAGGUCAAGGUGCAGUUUAUGAUUGAGGUGGAAAUGGAUUACAAUAAAUUUAUUUAUAUGGAGGGUUUUUGUAGAAGAAUACUUGAAGGUGGAUUUAAAAGUAAUUAUAAAAGUAAUUGUUAUAGUGAAUUUGGCUCUAGAAUAUGCACAUAUCGCCCGUCGCUCUCAUUAUUAAUUGAG